rnacentral:rRNA from 1 species
AAACCAACAGGGAUUGCCUUAGUAGCGGCGAGUGAAGCGGCAAAAGCUCAAAUUUGAAAUCUGGCUCUUUCAGAGUCCGAGUUGUAAUUUGAAGAAGGUAUCUUUGGGCCUGGCUCUUGUCUAUGUUUCUUGGAACAGAACGUCACAGAGGGUGAGAAUCCCGUGCGAUGAGAUGACCCAGGUCCGUGUAAAGUUCCUUCGACGAGUCGAGUUGUUUGGGAAUGCAGCUCUAAGUGGGUGGUAAAUUCCAUCUAAAGCUAAAUAUUGGCGAGAGACCGAUAGCGAACAAGUACAGUGAUGGAAAGAUGAAAAGAACUUUGAAAAGAGAGUGAAAAAGUACGUGAAAUUGUUGAAAGGGAAGGGCUUGAGAUCAGACUUGGCAUUUUGCAUGUUGCUUCUUCGGGGGCGGCCUCUGCGGUUUGUCGGGCCAGCAUCAGUUUGGGCGGUAGGACAAUCGCGCGGGAAUGUGGCACGGCCUCGGCUGUGUGUUAUAGCCCGCGUGGAUACUGCCAGCCUAGACUGAGGACUGCGGUUUAUACCUAGGAUGUUGGCAUAAUGAUCUUAAACCGC